rnacentral:rRNA from 1 species
GAUGAACGCUGGCGGCGUGCUUAACACAUGCAAGUCGAACGGAAAGGCCCAAGCUUGCUUGGGUACUCGAGUGGCGAACGGGUGAGUAACACGUGGGUGAUCUGCCCUGCACUUCGGGAUAAGCCUGGGAAACUGGGUCUAAUACCGGAUAGGACGAUGGUUUGGAUGCCGUUGUGGAAAGUUUUUUCGGUGUGGGAUGAGCUCGCGGCCUAUCAGCUUGUUGGUGGGGUAAUGGCCUACCAAGGCGUCGACGGGUAGCCGGCCUGAGAGGGUGUACGGCCACAUUGGGACUGAGAUACGGCCCAGACUCCUACGGGAGGCAGCAGUGGGGAAUAUUGUACAAUGGGCGCAAGCCUGAUGCAGCGACGCCGCGUGGGGGAUGACGGCCUUCGGGUUGUAAACUCCUUUCGCUAGGGACGAAGCGUUUUUGUGACGGUACCUGGAGAAGAAGCACCGGCUAACUACGUG